CCUUUUGUGGCUAUAUUGCCACGGCACUUGAUCGGUGGGCUGGCGCACCGCCAUGCUUAGCAGCGGAACAGUGGGUUGGUAGGGUAUAGGCUGGGGUAGGGAAGGGUUUGGCAGCUUGGGAUCGAGCGGAAGCGGAGGUUAGAGGGGUGGAGCGGCAGCGGUACCCGUUCUUCGCCUUCGAGCUCGGCUUUAGGUGGAACCGUCGUUUGAGGGGGCGGCGAUUCCGAGGUCGACGGCGUUUCUAGCGGCUCGGCCGUCGACGAGGGGGGGUCGGGCUUUGGGAUCGGCUCAUGAUGGGGUGAAGGAGGGUUUGGCACCGGGUCCUCUCGCCCAGGUAGCGACCCCCGCGCCGCCACUUCGUCCUCCACCCGCCGCUCCUCCUGCUCACCCUCCUCCACCUUCUCCUCCUCCUUCUCCUCCAGCUCCUCCUUCUUGUCGUCGUCCGGCUCCUCCCGCUGUCGCUGGGGCGGAGCUAGGUCCGCGAUGACCUCCACAAGGGGUUCCUCGUCGAGCAGCUCGACGAGGCGCUGCGGCGGCAGGCGGUGCCGCUGCACGAGCUCAGGCAGGCGGCUCGCCGGCUGCGCCUAGGUCGGGUCGCCUUCUAGAAGCAGGUGCCGGAGCCUACCCUGUGGUGGCACCUGUAGGAGUGGCUCCGAAAGGCGGGAAUACCACUCUAGCUCCUAGAGUUCGAGCAGAGUCUGGCAUUGUGCCCGUUCACGUUCCCGAUGCCCAAGUAGGAGAAGUCGGCGGAAAGACCGCGGGCGCGCCGGGACGACCUCGGGGUCUUCUUCUAGCCGUUGGCGUGAUGGAGGACGGUCGAACGAAGAAACCCGGGACAGGGUGGACCGCCACGCCGGUUGUUAGGAUACAACCGAUGUCGAGGUCGAGGCCGAGGUCGUCGGAACUAUGAUGGCGGUCAAAGACUCAUGUGUGUCGCCUUCUAAAAACAAUCGUUACAACCGCGUCUAUAGCUGGGUGUCUUUGACGACGUCAAGAAAAGUUUCAUACCACUUUAACUCCUCCCAGGAGAACCCGAGCUGUUCCGUUGGCCUUUCGGGUUCCCAAAACGAGACAAACAAAUGUCCUGGGAACUCUCGCGGUUCUUCCGCGAGGUCCUCGGCGUGUUCAGUAAACUCCCUCAAUACGACGUGACGGUCUUCCGUUAGCUACCCGGUUUUGGGUUGUUUCCUCCUCCUAUACCACGGUGUUGAUGUUCACCCUCCUUCCCGCGACGACCGAUACCACGACCAUCGGUAAGAGACGGACCGUGACAACCACGACCAAUACCCUACCGUAGAGGUCGCUCGGACCGAAGUUACGGACCCGGACAUGGACCACCAGGUCCCUACUUAGGACGUGACCCGGUCCGAAAUUGUCGAAAGAACCGGUGGGUUCCCCCUCCCAACCCAGACUUAUUGUAGGAACCUCAACCAGGAUUAUCAAGUCCCCACGGUUUAAGUCCCAGAAGACCUCGAGAACCACCACCGCCACAUGGACCUUACGGACCGUCAAUAUACCCUCCGAUACCCCCACCACCGCCCAUACCACCAGGUGGCCCUCCAGGUCCUUCUUUAAUGUACCCAGUAAUCUACUAAGAUGCACAAGGACGCGGCGUGAAUAUUUGUACGACAAAAUCCGACGAAGAGCGUUCAACGAAUGAGAUCGCCAGUUUCAAAAGUAUUCUUGAAACUAAAGGAGUUAGGAUACAAAAGUUUUAACUUGUUUAGAUACAUGUUAAUAAAUUUAAAAGCUUUUCAAUGAUAACAGAACACUGGGAUAACAUUUUCUGAAAGAUAGCUAAAUUUCGUGGCACCUUAAAAAUGACGUAAAAUAUGUUCUUAAAAGUCAGUAAUAAAAACCGUAAACAACUUUGGGUUAAACACAAUAAUUUUUUUUACGGUAAGGGAUGAAAAGAACAGUACGACUAUACAAAGACUGGUCUUUACAACACACCUAAAUAAAGACUUGUUUUUCAACUUAUAACGAAACAAAUGUUUCAUCCGUAAACAAAUAAAACCGGUUCAAAUAGUAAUAGCACUCUAUUUCAACCAAUUCCUCUUAGAGACCGUCUAGAUCCUUUUAUAGUUACACGACUAAAAUCUUUUCUCCGAUAACGUAAGAGUUUACGCAAAAAAACAGAUAGAACAGCCCGUCAGGUUAAAAUCAACACAACCAGACUCCAGUAUCCGCAUUUAUGAUUUGUCUUCUGGAAAAUCGUCGCUAAAUCUGAAACCGGCAACUGAUUAAAAAACGGACACCCGUUCGAUCAUCAACCUUUCCCGCUUCAUCCCCCUCCCUACAGGAGUAGCUUCUCCAUCCCGACAACCUUCCCACCCUCCCCGACCGAACUAACUUGGGAGUGUCCUUCUGUUCACGAGUAUAGAAACUACACCUCCUCCUGACGUCGUUUUCCUUCUCCUCCCUUCUUUUCUAUGUCAAGUUCUACUCCACUUACCGAUGAUUCAACGAAAUGUUGGACUAAUCGUGUGAGAAUACAAGAAGUAAACAAAAACGCACACUACAAAAAGAAAACCAAAUCAUCAUCUUAUCUUGAUCCUCGUCUGACAUCGUGUGAGAAUACACGCGCAAUGGUCAUACAAAUUAACCUUUUGAUCUUAUCUUGAUCCUCGCCAUUAACUUGGUCAAAUUUGUAACACCACCUAAUUACUUAUCUUAUCCACGUACUAUUAAUCUUCAUUGUACCCAUGUACAAGAUAAUAGACCGUGAAUAGGAUCACGAGGAGUGUUUAUACGUUUAAAGCAAACUACAAGAUAAAACUCAUAAGAAUGGAUAUUCUCGUGUAUCGUUAAAAAGACUAUAUUUCAUAGGGACUACAUUAUCUAGUAUUAAAUGAUUCGACGCACAAUAGUCAAUAGACCGGAUUUCAGAAAUAGGUUGUUCAAAAACAUUCGACACUGUGCAGUAAUAGAAAGCUAGUGUGCUGUAUACAUAUAUAGUAAACAACAGUU
rnacentral:rRNA from 1 species